CAGUCGAGUUGAAUUGCCCACGGAGCCGGUUCAUAGCUCUAUUUUGAUUUUGUACUUGUAAAAAGUUUUAUUUAAACUUUAAAAUUAUGGUAUAAGGUGACGAUCACAUGUAUUUCCUUGAAGUAUUCUCGCAAUCACAGUGAAGCUUUUUAUAAUAAAGAUACACUGUGAUGGUGAGGAUAAUUUAUGGACUCACAGCUGCUUUGAUUUUACGGAAUAGAAUGUGUUUUUUAACAGCGUAUAUUUCUUCAAAAUGGCCUACAGACUCUCGGUGCGAUUGAUGGGCCUGGACAUUUCCUCAUAUGAUAACUGAUGACGGACAGUUAUCAUAUGUGGAAAUUGUCCAAGCCGAUCAAUCGUGAUUUUUUGAGGAUCUGCAGCUAUCCCGACUACCCCGAAUUGGAUGUCCUGGUGACUGUUUUGUGGAUUGACUUGCUUACUUUCUAACAUGAUUAAGUUUAUGUAAUAUUUUCAAGAUAAUUUUUCUUAAA